CAUAUCAAAUGAUGAUGUCUACAAAUUGAAUUGCGCGCUCAUCGCAUUAUAGUUGCAUUCGUCUGCUGUUCCCGCCCGCAUUGUAGGGUAUUCUGGUGCCGGGUGAUUGUGGCAGCUUUUCCAGCCGUUGCUAAUGUAUUUUGCGGCAACAUAUGACGUCUCUAAUUAUAUGAAUUUGGCGCUUAUCUCAAAGCAAACACGACAAAUGGACAUGGAAAUGGGCGGCACUUGUGUGUGCGCGAAUGUCGCGCCAUAAAAAAAACAUGCGUUAUAAAGAGGAGACAACCCAUAACAACAACAAAAAAACGAAGAAGAAGCUGAAGAAACAACUACAAAUUAUGGCACUGGUGCUGUGUACGAAGCCGGGCAAUUUUCACUGCGACUCGCACCAAAAGCAGAGACAAUUAUCCGAGCCGUCGACAUGGAGGGAAGAACGUGAAUUGCAAACGGAAGAGGUUGCCCCGCAGCGUUUCAGGUUACGCAAGCAAUUAGAAGGGACUUAUGUCCCUGCGAGGGUUGUCUUACCAUACAUUCAUGAAAUGGCCAACACGGAACGAACACGAACACGAACCCGAACCUGAACCCAAGCCCCGAGGCAGUCAAGAGGAAGUAAGCAUCAACUACUUAUAGAGAGGGUAUGGCACUGGCCAAACAAAGGACAUGGUCCGAUACCAGUCACAAUACUCGAUAAGCAGCUUACGCAAGAAAAGCUUCUGCUGAUCAGGCCAAAGAACCCUCUAUGACAAAUUAUGCCCCAACAUCUACAGACUGCAGACCGCCCACAGACGAUGGUUCCUAAAUAGCCGCAAAGUUCUUGGUAAGCAUACCAUAGAACUAGUCCUCAUCAACCUGAAAUAGCUAAAAUUCCCUUUUUGCAAGUGUAUUAAAUCUUUGGCGUGACGAAGGUAGCCCUUAAAUCUCGCAUAUUUUUCAUGUUUAAGAAUCUAAAAAUGUUCAAACUUCAACUUUAUUUUCUUUAGAUGUAGUGCUCUUAACACAAUUAGAGUUAAAAAUAAAAAAUAAAAUAAAAUAAAAUAAGUAACAGUUAUAAGUUAUUCAUAUAUGCAUAUUUUUUAUGAGCAAAACACAGAAAAAGUACAAUAAUCAAGUCACAUGCAUGUAAAUAUAAAAA